GUCCAAAGAAGAAAGGAAAACUGGAAACCAGCAGCUGCUGGAAUCUCUGCUGUUCUCUUCGUUUGUAUAGCUCUGAUUUUUUCCAUAUUUUGGAAAUAUAAGACUUCUCAUCAGUUUUCAAGUCGAGCUGUCAAUGAUGGGAAUGAGGUAAUAUCUUGGGUCAUUUAUCAGACUUGUGAGAUUUCAGCUCAACCAGCCGAGCCUGAUCUUCCCUUCCCUCAUCCAAGGACGUCUUCAGCAGUCAGACAUCCAAACACUUCAAUGAUCAGAAGAGGACCACGUGCUUCACUUCACAGUCAUUAGAAAACUAAAACAGAUCCAGAGUGAAAAUCUAUUAGUCACAGAAUCAGAAGAUUACUGGACUGAGGCUGCAUAUGUUUCUAUUUUCUACUGCUGUUAUUAGU